AGCAUAAGAAUUGGGCUUCAAUUUAACUUCACAAUCUUUUUUUUUCAAUGUGGGAGGUAAAUGAAAUGCAACCAAGUAAUGUCUGUGUGUAAUUCAGGGAUGAAGUAGAGAGAAAAACUGUGAUAGCCAAAUGAAGGAAGAGACCCACUGGUAAUAUCCUACAUGCACUGCUCAAAUACGAAAUCCUAGAAACCCUCUGCCUGUGCCGUCAACAUGGCUUUACUACUCAAAAGAAACAUUUAAAAGCUGCUAAAAUAGUAGUUCAGAAACUUACUCUAAGAUAUUUAGCCAGCUUUCCAAAUGGCUGUCAAUAAUAUUAAACAUUCUAACUUUUCUUCAUAAAUAUUGUAACAGAUUCUAGUAGCUAACACCAAAGUCUUCAAGGUGAUUUUGAAAACCAGCAUUCAGCACCAUUAGUAUUUAUUUAUAAGCUUAUACACAGAAUUCCUUUAAAAACAAUAGUUGGAGAUUAUUUUUCUUCCCUUCCACUCUGAUUUCCUUUUAACUCAAAGGAAAGCUGCCAAUAGGUAUGUCAUGAUGCCAUGGAAAGUAAAUUCAGGGAAAUACAGAAAUGCUUUUUUUAUUUAAGUCAACCUUCUUUACAUACUUGCCAGAGUCAAAUCAUGAUGUAGCUUAAAAUUAUCAAAGCUAGCUAGAUAUACAGAAUCCUUGGCUGUCAAAGAGAAUAAUCUAUAUAUGUAUAAGUAAUGCAAAGAAGUACUUGGGGCUGGGAAAAUGAAAAUGGAAGCACAGGAUCAUGGGUUGGAGCACUGUAGCCACCCACUUUCCUCACCCUCAGGAUUUCUCUGGAGAUGUAAGCGAUCCAGUCUUCUUUGAGUGUGUUCCCUUUGGUGUUCUUCACAAGGUCUGUAAUGGACCCAGCCCCACAGAACUCCAUAACAAGCUAUAGGGCAGACAAGACACAAGAUGCUGCCAUUUUAUUCCUGAAACACAAAGUUAACUUUUUUCCAUGCAAUGUGAAAUCAAUAUCACAAUAAACAACCAGCAUAUAGUCAACCCAGAGACACCGGCCAAGGAAGCCUUUAGAAUCUGCCAGCUACUUACUGCUCCUCUUCAUGGUUUUUCUUCCCUCCCUUCCCCCCAGCCCCCACCCCCGCCACGCCCUUACAAUUCAAGCAAACGGAACGCCCACAAAUGCUCAGGAAACAUCCACCUACCCAGAGUUGGUCAUCAUGUCCUGGAGGGCUCUUUUUGAUGAAAGCACCAUAAUAUGUUGCAA